GCUGUCCGUGAGGGCGGUAACGGAAGAGCUCCGACGUCGAAAUUUACCCCGGGGCGCGGCCGGAGUAGCUCGCCCGGAGCAGCCGUUAAAGACAGCCUUGCCAAAGCUCCGCGAUGCCUCUCUCCUGUCUCCGCUACCCGGAAGAACAAGCGCACCUCAUUAAAAAAAAAAACAAAACUGAAAAACAAAACACCAAAACCCAAACUUGGUCAUCUGGCGUGUUCAGCAUGGAGAAGAACGAGGGGAAACCUCAUCGCAUCGUACAACUUCCUCGUGAGGGGCAGCGGAGGGGUAGCUCCGAUAUCUGCUCUCUGCGACCAGUGACAGGACCCGAGGGAACGGCUGGAGGUGUGUCAGGGGAGAUUUAGGCAAAUACCUCAGGAAAAGAUGCUUAGCCCGGAGGAUGGUUGGGCACUAAACAGGUUCCCAGGGCAGUGGUCAGGGUACCAAGGCUGCUAGAGCUCAAGGAGUGUUUAGACAAGGCUCUUAGGGACAGGGUGGGAUUGUUGGGGUGUGUGCUGUGCAGGAUUUGGACUGGAUGAUACUAUGGGUCCCCUCCUACUCAGAAGAUUCUGUGAUUUCUGGAAAAAUACAACAGCAAAAACUAACUAAAUAAAACAAGCAAAAACCCAAACAAACAAAAAAUAACCAAAAACCCCUUCAAUAACUUAAGGCUAGAAACAAACCAAUCACAGUCCCCAAAGACUUUUCUAACAAGGCCUGAGUAGUGGAGCUGUGUUUCCAGGGAAGAUGAGGAGUCUCCACCCCUGGAGAGAACUUUCCUGUGAAUCAUCUGAAGUGAACCCAGGGCUCUUCCAGUUGUGCAGGAGGAGACUCCACAUGUACUUGAAGAUCCCUUUAUCACAGAACUGGACAGAAGAGCAUGGAAACAUUAGAGAUGCAGUCAUUUGUUAUCAGCAGCACCCUGGCAGUGCUGGUGUUGAACGUUCUCUGUAAGUUGGAAAAGGACAAAAACCCUCUUGCCAACAGAGGCAUGUGAGCAAUACUGGCUGAGACAUCUUGGCCCUUGAACAGCAUCAGUCUGCACUGGGUAGGAAGAAUUGAUCCAACAUGCCUCUGCAGAUCUUAUGCAGAUAUUGUCUGGACUCUCAUUCCUGCAAAGCAGCUUGGCACCAGUAUGGGGAAGUGUCCCCAUUCAUACCUUCAGACCUGAGUGUGCUCCCAAAGAGAUCAGCAAAGAAAUAAAAUGUUCAACUUAAGGAUAACUUGCUGCCUUCCAGAGAAUUCAUCAUUUCCAGUUUGAAAAGAGAAAUCCAGGAAGCACCAAUAAAUCUAUUUUGACAGUGGAGUAAAGAGCUGAAAAAUGAGUAACCUGUCAAGGUAACGUGACUUAAUUCUUAGAGAAAGAUCCUUUUUUUAUAAAUGAAAAAAAAAUACCAGCAAAGUGAAAUAGCAGGAAAUGUCACACUUGAUUGUCUCUCAGUAGGACAGAAAUUAAAUAAAAAGAAGGCAAGGUAAACGACAGGGUUUUACAUUUAACGAGGGAAGUAAUAAAAUAAACUGAGAAUAAUAACAUCCACUGAAAAUCUAUGCACAGCAACCUGAGUAUGUCAAAGGGGUGUGUUCCCACAGAAACAUUCAUUUAACGUACACAUUUUUGUUUGAAGAAAAGGCAGGUUCUAUGCUGGGAGUGGAGGAUUCGUGGAGAUACUGUGAUCGGACAUACGGGGGCAGCCUUACCUGCAGGUUAUCACAGCCUUGCACCGCGGGGCCACUGCAGCCGUUGCGCUUUGGGCUCCCAUGGCAAGCUCUGGAGCUUUGCCCCUUUCUAAACAAGGAACCCAUGCAGGCUUACCAGAUUUCGUUAUUCAAAGGGUGAGCACUGUCCCUUUAAAUAAACACAGAGAUCUCAGUCCAAAUGGGAACUGAAACCCAGGCUACCGUCGGUUAUGAAACCUCCCUUUCAGAGCUCACAGGCUCAGGGCCCGCUGCUACACUUCGAGGUUAAUAAUCAGUUUUAAUAUUCACUUAGGGGGCUGUAAAAAAAGAAUGAAAAUUUCCUAAUUUGAAAAUGGACUUGAUUGGCAGCUUUAUUAUCUCUAUAAGGUGCAUGGCAUUCCACACAAUCAAGUCAUUUUUUAAAAUAAUCUCACUGCUUAAGUCGUACAUGCUGCUAAUUGCAUUUUAAUAAGUCUCUUUAAAAUCUUUCCAUAUUUUUUAAUAUCCUAAUAUUAGAUAAGUGAUUGCUGGGGACACUGGAGGGCACUGAGGUUUAUAGAAAGAGGAACACCAUAAUGAAGCUUUAUUGGGAUGGCAUCACCAAACAAUUGCUGUGAUAGCAACACUCCCAAGCUUGGAGAAAUGCCAGCCAUUCCCCGCCUAGAACUGACACAGGCACAAGCCUCCCUGGCUCAGGACUGACAGAAAAUGGAUGCUUUCUGGAUCAUAAAAUGGCCUCUUUCCAUCUUGGAAAUGGCUGAGGAACUGUCCACUUUGGAUUGGGAAAGGAUUUUUCUCCAUUGAACAGUGACUUUGAAACAUUUUUGUUUUGCUUGGUUCUGGC